rnacentral:snRNA from 1 species
GGAUGUGAAGGAGAUUUGGCUGUGACAUCCGUCACCCCAUUGAUGCCAGGGUUGAUUUGAUUUGGCUGAUCUGGCUGGCUAGGUGGGUGUCCCCUUCCUCCCUCACCGCUCCAUGUGCGUCCCUGCUGAAGCUGCGCACUCGGUUGAAGAGGACGACCAUCCCUGAUAGAGGAGGACCGUUCUUCGGUCAAGGGUAUAGGAGCAGCUGCGCUCCCCUGCUAGAACCUCCAAACAAGCUCUCAAAAUAUGCAGGAUAUAGAAUAAGUGAAUAAAAAAAAUGCAGGAUAUAACCCAAAGAUUACGCAGCACAUCCAAACCAGAAUAGCCUGACUAAUUCCUAUUUU